UUAAGUUAUUAAGGGCGCACGGUGGAUGCCUUGGCACUAGAAGCCGAUGAAGGACGUUACUAACGACGAUAUGCUUUGGGGAGCUGUAAGUAAGCUUUGAUCCAGAGAUUUCCGAAUGGGGAAACCCAGCAUGAGUUAUGUCAUGUUAUCGAUAUGUGAAUACAUAGCAUAUCAGAAGGCACACCCGGAGAACUGAAACAUCUUAGUACCCGGAGGAAGAGAAAGAAAAUUCGAUUCCCUUAGUAGCGGCGAGCGAAACGGGAAGAGCCCAAACCAAAAAGCUUGCUUGUUGGGGUUGUAGGACACUCUAUACGGAGUUACAAAGGACGACAUUAGACGAAUCAUCUGGAAAGAUGAAUCAAAGAAGGUAAUAAUCCUGUAGUCGAAAAUGUUGUCUCUCUUGAGUGGAUCCUGAGUACGACGGAGCACGUGAAAUUCCGUCGGAAUCUGGGAGGACCAUCUCCUAAGGCUAAAUACUCUCUAGUGACCGAUAGUGAACCAGUACCGUGAGGGAAAGGUGAAAAGCACCCCGGAAGGGGAGUGAAAUAGAACCUGAAACCGUGUGCUUACAAGUAGUCAGAGCCCGUUAAUGGGUGAUGGCGUGCCUUUUGUAGAAUGAACCGGCGAGUUACGAUUUGAUGCAAGGUUAAGCAGUAAAUGUGGAGCCGUAGCGAAAGCGAGUCUGAAUAGGGCGUUUAGUAUUUGGUCGUAGACCCGAAACCAGGUGAUCUACCCUUGGUCAGGUUGAAGUUCAGGUAACACUGAAUGGAGGACCGAACCGACUUACGUUGAAAAGUGAGCGGAUGAACUGAGGGUAGCGGAGAAAUUCCAAUCGAACCUGGAGAUAGCUGGUUCUCUCCGAAAUAGCUUUAGGGCUAGCCUCAAGUGAUGAUUAUUGGAGGUAGAGCACUGUUUGGACGAGGGGCCCCUCUCGGGUUACCGAAUUCAGACAAACUCCGAAUGCCAAUUAAUUUAACUUGGGAGUCAGAACAUGGGUGAUAAGGUCCGUGUUCGAAAGGGAAACAGCCCAGACCACCAGCUAAGGUCCCAAAAUAUAUGUUAAGUGGAAAAGGAUGUGGCGUUGCCCAGACAACUAGGAUGUUGGCUUAGAAGCAGCCAUCAUUUAAAGAGUGCGUAAUAGCUCACUAGUCGAGUGACACUGCGCCGAAAAUGUACCGGGGCUAAACAUAUUACCGAAGCUGUGGAUUGUCCUUUGGACAAUGGUAGGAGAGCGUUCUAAGGGCGUUGAAGCAUGAUCGUAAGGACAUGUGGAGCGCUUAGAAGUGAGAAUGCCGGUGUGAGUAGCGAAAGACGGGUGAGAAUCCCGUCCACCGAUUGACUAAGGUUUCCAGAGGAAGGCUCGUCCGCUCUGGGUUAGUCGGGUCCUAAGCUGAGGCCGACAGGCGUAGGCGAUGGAUAACAGGUUGAUAUUCCUGUACCACCUAUAAUCGUUUUAAUCGAUGGGGGGACGCAGUAGGAUAGGCGAAGCGUGCGAUUGGAUUGCACGUCUAAGCAGUAAGGCUGAGUAUUAGGCAAAUCCGGUACUCGUUAAGGCUGAGCUGUGAUGGGGAGAAGACAUUGAGUCUUCGAGUCGUUGAUUUCACACUGCCGAGAAAAGCCUCUAGAUAGAAAAUAGGUGCCCGUACCGCAAACCGACACAGGUAGUCAAGAUGAGAAUUCUAAGGUGAGCGAGCGAACUCUCGUUAAGGAACUCGGCAAAAUGACCCCGUAACUUCGGGAGAAGGGGUGCUCUUUAGGGUUAACGCCCAGAAGAGCCGCAGUGAAUAGGCCCAAGCGACUGUUUAUCAAAAACACAGGUCUCUGCUAAACCGUAAGGUGAUGUAUAGGGGCUGACGCCUGCCCGGUGCUGGAAGGUUAAGAGGAGUGGUUAGCUUCUGCGAAGCUACGAAUCGAAGCCCCAGUAAACGGCGGCCGUAACUAUAACGGUCCUAAGGUAGCGAAAUUCCUUGUCGGGUAAGUUCCGACCCGCACGAAAGGCGUAACGAUUUGGGCACUGUCUCAACGAGAGACUCGGUGAAAUCAUAGUACCUGUGAAGAUGCAGGUUACCCGCGACAGGACGGAAAGACCCCGUGGAGCUUUACUGUAGCCUGAUAUUGAAAUUCGGCACAGCUUGUACAGGAUAGGUAGGAGCCUUUGAAACGUGAGCGCUAGCUUACGUGGAGGCGCUGGUGGGAUACUACCCUAGCUGUGUUGGCUUUCUAACCCGCACCACUUAUCGUGGUGGGAGACAGUGUCAAGCGGGCAGUUUGACUGGGGCGGUCGCCUCCUAAAAGGUAACGGAGGCGCUCAAAGGUUCCCUCAGAAUGGUUGGAAAUCAUUCAUAGAGUGUAAAGGCAUAAGGGAGCUUGACUGCGAGACCUAUAAGUCGAGCAGGGUCGAAAGACGGACUUAGUGAUCCGGUGGUUCCGCAUGGAAGGGCCAUCGCUCAACGGAUAAAAGCUACCCCGGGGAUAACAGGCUUAUCUCCCCCAAGAGUUCACAUCGACGGGGAGGUUUGGCACCUCGAUGUCGGCUCAUCGCAUCCUGGGGCUGUAGUCGGUCCCAAGGGUUGGGCUGUUCGCCCAUUAAAGCGGUACGCGAGCUGGGUUCAGAACGUCGUGAGACAGUUCGGUCCCUAUCCGUCGUGGGCGUAGGAAAUUUGAGAGGAGCUGUCCUUAGUACGAGAGGACCGGGAUGGACAUACCUCUGGUGUACCAGUUGUCGUGCCAACGGCAUAGCUGGGUAGCUAUGUGUGGACGGGAUAAGUGCUGAAAGCAUCUAAGCAUGAAGCCCCCCUCAAGAUGAGAUUUCCCAACUUCGGUUAUAAGAUCCCUCAAAGAUGAUGAGGUUAAUAGGUUCGAGGUGGAAGCAUGGUGACAUGUGGAGCUGACGAAUACUAAUCGAUCGAAGACUUAAUCAA
rnacentral:rRNA from 4 species